AACAGGCCACACCAGGUUCCUGUUAGCAAGCUCCUCUUGGCAAAGGCAGCAGUGUCUGAUUUGGUGUCUACAGGCAGGAUGAAUCCCCAGGGAUGCAGCAAUACUAUCUCACAAGCCUGCAACUGGAAACAACAGUGAUGCUGGGGUGUGACUCAGAAGGAUGAGGUCCUAGGCUUGCUCCAAAAUAUUGGGUGAAAGUUGAAGAGAUUUGUUCUCUCAUAGCUAGUUCAAGUAGUUCUUUGAACACCAGCACAGUUGGAUUAACUCCCAAGGGAAGUUCAUGAAUGGAUCUUACUAUGCACAUCCUAGGAGAGGUCAGAGAUGGCAGUCGCCACACCAGGGAACUGAGAUUCAUAGUGGAAAGACAUAUCUAUACAAUCAUAUUGUAAAUAAGCACCAUAACUUCUAAAACAGAAUUGCAAACAUUUAUUUGUUAAAUAAAUUACAUUUCUGACUUUUGGUGCCUUUAGAAAUUGCAGCUUAGAAUUAUUGUUCCUUAUGAGAGGCCAUGUGUUAGGAUUGUACAAAAAGAUAAAUGCAAGCAUGAUUGGAAACCAUGCAUAUAUUUCUGUUGCCUGUAGUUCCUGAAGAUACAUCCUCACGCCACAUCCCUUCAAUACAAGACUGGAUCUCCAACUAAAAUCCAUUUUCCUGUGUAACAUGUUUUUCAUUCUCUAAUGUCCUCUGUAAAAAUAAAGCAAGCAAGCAAAC